UCUCCAUCUCCUGACCUUGUGAUCUACUCACCUCGGCCUCACAAAGUGCUGGGAUUAUAGGCGUGAGCCAUCUUGCCUGGCCAGAAUAUAUUUUAACUUAUUUUGCCAGUCCUCCAGACUUGAAUAUUUAGGUUUUCUCCAUUGUUUUUAAAGAAUGCUGCAACUGAUAUCUCUGUAACUAAAUGUUUUCACACAUCCUAAAUUAUAUCAGUAAAAUAAAAUUGGAGGCAUGCAAAACGUGUGCCUAGCAUUUAGAGUUCUGAUACAUAGUAUAGAAAUACUCCCAUCAAUAGUGUGUGAAAACUCAGGGUUUACGUUUCUUGUGUAUAAGGAAUCUCUUGCCAUGGAUUUUAGUUCCAUUUUAGUUCUAUUUAGCUUUCAUCCCCAGGCCUCUUAUAAUCCUACUCAUUUCGCAUAUGGUCCUGAUAUUAUCAGCUUUUUUAGUAGCCUUUUGCCCUUUGCUAUUUAAGCAUGUGUUUCUGGAUGAGAUUCUCAUUCCUAAUUAAAUAGAUUCAGAUUACUGAUUGAAUUUUCUGAGUAUCCUGUCCCAUAUGUCAAGGUCCCUCAGAAAGUCAACAGAAAACUUUAGAAUGGUAUAAUAAUUAAUAGUCAAAAGAAGAAUUCAAUUAAGAAUAUGAUGUUGGCUCUAACAUUCAUUAUCCUUAUUGCCAUACCUGGUUAACAAUACAUUUUUUAAAGAGUUUUCUCUACCCCUCCAGAAAAAAAAAAAAAAAGAAUAAAACAAAAAUAGAUCAGGUUCUGAUUAAUUAUAAAAUUUCUGGUUCCAAUCCAGUUUGCAGAAUGAUACCAUGGAUAUAAAAGUCAAAACAUUAGCUCAAAAUUAUAAUUUUUUAAGGAAAUUAUUUCAAUAGAAGAUACACAUCAUUUGACUCUCCUCUUCUUUACAGAGUGAUCCAAGAGCAGGAUCUCUUACUUUCCAUCCAUUGUCAUUCAUAGAAUCCUUGAAGCAACUCAGGAUUGUUAGCAGUGACCUUUGCGCAGAUGAGGACUCUGAAGCAUAGAAAUGUUGUAUAACUUGCUUAAUACAAAGCCCAUGCUCUUUGUAUUCCAUCAGACCAUAUCCUAUAAAUAUAUAUACAUUGCUAGGGAAGUGCACUAUGGCAACUCAGCUACCUCUCACAAGGUGGUAUGGUUUAUAAAAAUAGCAUCACACAUUUGUCAUCAUUGCUUGGUUGAGUGUCCAACAUAGAAAUAAAAAUAAAAAGAGUGUUCUCUUUGGUAUUAAAAUAUUCUAAUGCAUUAGAGAAUGAUCAUACUCACCAGUGUUAUUUUGCUCUACUUAUUUGCUUUUAAUUAUAAUAUAUGCCUGUUUACUUUUUAUAGAUAUAAAAAGGUAGAUUUAAAAAAGCACUUUAGGUAGAAAUAAAAAGCACUUUAAGAACAUGAAUUAAAUGAUACUUUAAUAAAGAAGUACAAUAGAUUAAGGAAUACAGUGAUAGAUUAAAAGAACUUGAAUUAAAACAUACUUUAUUGUUGUUAUUAACACAAAGAUUUAUGCUAACAAAACAUAUUUUCCCAAAUAUCUCUCUCACCUCCCCACCCACAAUUUUUAUUCAGGAAUAUGAGAAUUGGGCUUUUAUAAAAGCAGACAAUGGCUAAAUAUCUACUAAGUUCUUAGAAACUUUGAAGGAUUACAGAACUCUCUUUCUAUCAUAAGGUUUGCCUAUUUGACUUGAUUUUGUUCAAGAUGGCAUUUCAUACUGAUGUAAACCUAAAAAAAGUAUAAGAUUAUCUCAUAGAAGGAAGUGUCUGUAAGUAAUUAAUUCUUCACUCUAAUUACUAUUUAUGCCUUUACUUUUUAUUAUGAACUUUCUUGUUAGAAUAAAUUAGAAAUAGGUUAUUCUUUCUUUACACUAAAAUAACUCAUGAAUAGCAGUGAAGUCCAUGCUGUAUAGUAUGCAACACAGUAAAUUAAGCUAUGGAUUCAAAUAAGAGAUCAGGAAAGACAAGGCUUUUAGUUAAAUCAGGAAUAUUCUGUGAUUGGAAAAGUUGCCUUGAAAAAUAACUACACACACACACACACACACACACACACAAACACAUACAUACUACUAGAAAAAUUUGAUGUUCAAUUCAGAGUGUGGAAGGUACAGUGUCUUGAAAUAAGAGUUUCAGUUGAAGCAUUUAGGCAAAUGAUCAAGAACAUGCAGAAGGAAAAAGAAAGAAAUCAUAAUUAUAGUUUCCUAACAGAGGUAUUUGAUCCUCUGCAAUGAACCAUAAGAAACUAUCAUGGGAUCACAAUCUUGAAUAGCAUGUCUUUAAUUGUAUGCAUUUCAAAGAAAUUUGAACAUUUAAAAAAGUUAUGCCAUAUUCCAAGUUGUAUAUAAAGACAAAUGAGGUAACAGGGUUAGAGAGGUUAAGUGAGUCACCAAAGCCAAUGGCUAGAUAGUAACAGAGCCAGCCAAAAACCAAGUCCUAGCCUACC